rnacentral:lncRNA from 1 species
CGAGUACAUUGCCAAGCCAACUCUCAAACUUGCAUCACCUCAAGUUAUCUCUUAUGGAUCCUCCUCCUUUUUGAACCUGAAUCCCUCCAUUCCUUCCAUGUUCAACCUCUUAAUGUUCCCGUAGGAACUGAUGAAUCCCCACUAAAUGAGUCUUCCUCCGAUUCUAAUUAGAAGGAUCCCUCUUUUGCAUCAUGACCAAAAAGGGGAGAAAAUAGAAGGAUAGACUAGGGUGAACUAUGGUUGUGUUUUAUGUUGAACAAUGUUUAUGUGCUUUAUGCUGUGUUGAGUUUUAUGUUUUAAUGUUGAAAUUGUGUUGAAUGGCUGAACAAUGCUUUUUAAUUAUUAUAUUAUAUAUAUAUUUAUAUAUAUUAUAUAUAUAUAUAUUUCAUGAUCGAAUACAUUUAUUUUUCAUGCUUUUAUAUUGAAUAUUUUUAUUUUUCUUAGUGCACAUAUUUAAGGAGAGCACAUAUCUAAAGGGAGAAAUCCCCAAAUCUGCACAUAAAUAUUUUUUAUAUAGACAUUGCACUCUUAAUCUAAAAGUGUUUUGUCAUCAUCAAAAANGCACAUAUUUAAGGAGAGCACAUAUCUAAAGGGAGAAAUCCCCAAAUCUGCACAUAGAGCUAUUUUCUUAUAUAAACAUUGCACUUUUAAUCUAGAAGUGUUUUGACAUCAUCAAAAAAAGAGGAAAAAUGUUGACUCCUUAUGUUUUUUAUGAUAACAAAACAUUCCUCAUUCAUUAAUGUCCAAUCUUAUUGUUUGAGUGUGCAAAAUAUAGUUUAAUUUCCUUAACAAAAUUGAUAAUUAAAGGCAAGGCAAGAUGCUUGCUUAGUCUAAAAAAAAGUUAUUCAGUUAAAGUGAGAAAGAAGAAAAGGGUUACAGAAGACAGAACUUUUGUAACUAAUUAAUGGAAAGCCUUAACGAAUUAAGGCAUAACUGAGCACUGGGUUAAAGCAAAACAAAGGAUUCCUAAUUAGUUAGCACUAGGCUUAAUUGAUUAAGGAAGUGCUGAAGGCUGAAAACAAAGUCAUGUUAAUCGGUUAAGAAGUUUGGUUAAUCGGUUAAAGCACAAGGCCCUAGUACCUUCAAGCGUAAAAAUCAAAUUUGCAAGAAAGUUGAUCGUUGAAAGGAGCCAAAAUGGAGAAGUUCAAAAUUUGAAGAUUUUCUAAUUGAUUAAAUCCGAUUUUAAUCGAUUAAAGUUGAAGGAAGUGAAGCCUCAACCAAUUAAUGGAAAAGCUAACCAAUUAAAGGAAAAUUGCUGUGUUGAGGAAAAUGAAAAUAGAAAAUUUGUAAUCAGUUAAAGUUUCCUCUAAUCGAUUAACAUAGUGUACACAGCUACAAGACAGUGCAAGGCAGAAAAGCUAUAAUUGGUUAGAGCUUGCUUGUAACUAGUUAGCCGAAUUCUAUCUGCCUAUUUGAAUUUAAACACUAAAGUCAAAAUAAUGGCUAGAAUGACAUCAGAGUUGUUUCUAACUCCAGAAGCUAUCCUAAACAGCAAAAUCUAACUCCCCAAGUAUACAUUGAAGCUCCAACAAUUAAAAAAAGAAGAUUGAAGCACAAAAGAGCCAUUUUGAGUAAAAAGCCAAAGAACCUUCCCCAAAAACACUUGUUCUUCACUCUUAUUCCAGAAAAAGUGUUUGAGCUUGCUUGUAAUCUUUCUAGAUUUGUAAAGAUUUCUAGUUGUACUUCUUUUUCUUCUUUUCUUGGGAACUUGAAGUGUGGGAAGCAUUCCCAAAGGUAUUGCAAGGGAUUAGAGCCUAGGUUAGAAGCUAACCUUAUAAAAGUUUGGUGGAAGCUAUUAAUUCCACUAGUAUAGUGAAGUUAGGUUGAAAUCCUUGAUUGCGCGAUCAAGGCAGUAGAUGUAGGUGAAGGAGACCAAACCACUAUAAAUCCUAGUGCAUUGUUCAUUUCUCUCUACCUAUCUUUACUUUGUGUCUUUUAACUACUAUGACUUUUAAAUCUUUCAUCCUUUAAUUGAUUAGUUGCUCUUCAAAUCAAAAAAAGGCUGACCUUAAAAUUUUUAGUGCUAUUCAUCCCUCCUUUAGCACACUAACAAGACCAAUAAUGCGAUAAUAUGUUAUGCAUAUAUAUGUAAAAUACAUUACUUUUAUUAUUAAAAAAACCACAUUAAAAGGACAUUUAAUUAAUGCAUAUUUCAAAAAAUAAAUCACCAACCAAGUAAUACAGUGAAAGCCCAUGAAAUUAUACUCACUUAGGCUCACCAAGGUCCAAAAACACAAGCUUAACAGGGUUUUUUUCUCUUCCACGUGUGCUAGGAUGAAAAAAAAGGACUCACUAAGAUGUGGGCUGCAACUGCCUACUCCCACAAGGCUUGGAUCUUUAAGUAUUUAAGCCUUCUUUUCUCUCAUUCUUCCUCUCUUUCACCUGCCACUCCUUUCUUUCAAACUUUUCUCUCCCAAUGCAAAACCGUAACUGAAACACCGUAAGGCCAUCGUACUAUUGCUACCAAUAGCCCAACCUUCUACUUUCGUACAUCAUCUAAAAACCACCCAAAACUUAGGUCUAACCUAGACUCCAAAAACCAUUCCCAAAAUCUUCCCAAAAGCAUUUAAUCCUCUAUUUGUAGUAUUAUAGUUUUUUAUGAGGUUGGUUGGUAGAUCUAGAGUUUGUUUUACUUUUGUUUUCUAAAGUUUUUGCUAUUGUGGCUCUCUUAGUUUUCAGAAGAAGAGGAUGAAGAAACUGAAAAAGAAAAAGAGGAUGAAGAAAUAGAAAAGGAAAAUGAUCUAGUAAGAGAAGUGGAGAAGGAAACUCAAGGUGAGGAAGAAAACUUGAAUGAAAGACACUUAGCUGUUGUAAAAACUGAUGAAAGUUCACCUAAAGAAUCUAAAGGCAUAUUUCUUUCAAACUUUACCAAAGAAAUUCUCUAUGAAGCUAAAGCUGAUCAGGCCAAACAAAAAGAAAAAAUGGAAUAGGAAGCUCACACAACAAGACAAAGAACAAAUUGGAGGGCAAGCAAAUCAAGAUAAAGGAAAAGCAAUAGACACUAAGCCUAAAGCAAAGGAAAUAGCUAGAAAGGAAAAAAAAAAACAAUGGCCAUAAAAACCAAGUUCUUCAGAAUAAGAAAAUCUACCAGCGUAACUGAGUACAUUGCCAAGCCAACUCUCAAACUUGUAUCACCUCAAGUUAUCUCUUAUGGAUCCUACUCCUUUCUGAACCUGAAUCCCUCCAUUCCUUCCAUGUUGAACCCCUUAAUGUUCACGUAGGAACUGAUGAAUCCCCAUUAAAUGAGUCUUCCUCUUAUUCUAAUUAGAAGGAUCCCUCUUUUGCAUGAUGAAAAAAAAAGGGGGGAAAUAGAAGGAUAGGCUAAGGUGAACUAUGGUUGUGUUUUAUGUUGAACAAUGUUUAUGUGCUUUAUGCUGCGUCGAGUUUUAUGUUUUUAUGCUGAACUUGUGUUGAAUGGCUAAA